AAGAAGUUUGUCUUCAUUGGGAGAACAAACACCAGGAUUAGUUCUCUACACGUGCUGUCAUCUGUGCAGCUCCUGUGUGGCUGUCAAAUACUAUUCUGUAAAAAAGUGCCUUAAAGAAACGUUACCGAAGGAAGAAAUGUUACCGAAGGAAGAGGCCUUUAGUUAUUGAGAGCGGCCUGAAAACCUCUGCCGAGUGCAGAGAGCGAAG